CAUGACGAGUUUGAUCAUGGCUCAGAGUGAACGCUGGCGGCAGGCUUAACACAUGCAAGUCGAACGCCCCGCAAGGGGAGUGGCAGACGGGUGAGUAACGCGUGGGAAUCUACCCAGAUCUUCGGAACAACUGAGGGAAACUUCAGCUAAUACCGGAUACGCCCUACGGGGGAAAGAUUUAUCGGUUCUGGAUGAGCCCGCGUUGGAUUAGCUAGUUGGUGGGGUAAUGGACCACCAAGGCGACGAUCAGUAGCUGGUUUGAGAGGAUGAUCAGCCACAAUGGGACUGAGACACGGCCCAUACUCCUACGGGAGGCAGCAGUAGGGAAUUUUGCGCAAUGGGCGAAAGCCUGACGCAGCAACGCCGCGUGAUUGAUGAAGCCCUUCGGGGUGUAAAGAUCUGUCAGUGGGGACGAAACUUGACGGUACCCACAGAGGAAGCAACGGCUAACUACGUG
rnacentral:rRNA from 1 species